CCUACGGGGGGCUGCAGUGAGGAAUAUUGGUCAAUGGGCGGGAGCCUGAACCAGCCAAGCCGCGUGAGGGAAGAAGGUACAGCGUAUCGUAAACCUCUUUUGUCAGGGAACAAAGGCGGGGACUAGUCCCCGGAUGAGGGUACCUGAAGAAAAAGCAUCGGCGAACUCCGUGCCAGCAGCCGCGGUAAUACGGAGGAUGCGAGCGUUAUCCGGAUUUAUUGGGGUUAAAGGGUGCGCAGGCGGCCUGUUAAGUCAGCGGGAAAAGCCCGGGGCUAAACCCCGGCGAGCCGUUGAAACUGGCGGGCUGGAGUUGGAGAGAGGUACGCGGAAUGCGCGGUGUAGCGGUGAAAUGCUUAGAUAUCGCGCAGAACCCCGAUUGCGAAGGCAGCGUACCGGCUCCACACUGACGCUGAGGCACGAAAGCGUGGGUAUCGAACAGGAUUAGAUACCCCAGUAGUC
rnacentral:rRNA from 1 species